rnacentral:lncRNA from 1 species
AGUCGGGGGAAGAAGGAAACAAAAAAAGAGUGAAGAGAAAGGUGACGGGGGAAAUCUGGAAGACAGAAAACAGAAAAGGAAAAAAGGAAAAAGCCGAGAGAAAAGUUGGGGAUUGGUGGCUCAAGAACAAUCGGGGCUGAGGUCUAAGAGAGAACCGAGAGGAUUAGGGAGGAGACGACUGAAAAUCAGGAGAGGAGCGACGGGAGAAAGAGAGGGAGAGAGAGCUUGAAGCCCGAGACAGAGAUAAAGCCAAGGAGGGACGCUGCCAUAGUCUUCAUCGAACUUGUCAUCAGCCGCAUACCUUCAUCGACGGAAAAGGCGAGAGCAGGAGGCUUCAAGAAGAGUUUCUGGUCUGAACAACACUUGAUUUUGUCCUGAUCGCUUCAAAUCGUGGUUUUCGAAAGGCUGAAGGUAAUGUUCUACCUUGUUCAUAAACCCACUAGAAUUAUGAUGCUGGUUUUUGCUUGGCUUCCUCCUUGUACGCCUGAGUUGCAGAAGUUGCGGGCCGUAAAUCCAUUUUUUUGCUUGCCUCUGUUUCCAAGAUCUUGUAGGAAAGCUGAAUCUUACUCUGUUGUUAAAACUGUGUCAACCUUUUGAACGAAUCUGGAAAAAUGCAAGCUAACCCAUGAAGUGCAGAAUUUUUCUUCCUUUUCUAAGUUUCUGUAUGCUACUUUUUUGUGCUUAAGUCCGGGUUUUUUUUAUGUUGUGAGUUGAAGACAAUGCUUGGUAAUAUGGUUGCGUGGGUCAGGUUCUGUUUGUUUGAAGAUUUGUGCAUAAAAACCUGCUGCAACAAGCUUCAAGUUAGCUUGUUGCAGCAGCGUGGAAUUUUCCUCUUGGUUGCCGAAUGCUCUCUGCAAUUUUGCUCUAGCAUUUAUGUGUUUCUCCUUUAUGCUUUCCCCUUUCUUUGUUUGAAACUGGUCCGUGUGUCAUUUGUUUGGGCUGUUAGGAUCCUUAAAAGGUAGAUUCAGAGUCUGCUGCGACAAGCUUCAAGUGUUUGGCUUGUCGCAGCCGUUUUUUUUCCUUGGUUGCUGAAUUUGCAGCAGAUCUGGCAUGUUCGAUGUGAUGUGUUUAUAUUGCUAUGAUGUUCUGGUUCUUGUUUAUUGGAAGUAUGGAUUGUGUGGUCCAUAAACCAGUUAAGAGCUUGACAAAGGUUGAUAUGCGUUUGCAAAAAAAUGAAAAUUGCAGUAAGCUUAAUCAUUGCUGAAGCCGAAGUUUUUUGCCAUUGCAUGCAUGUUUACCAGAAUUUUGCUGAGCUUGGUUUGUUUGGGUUGAGGUGUUUAUGUGGUUAGUUCCUUAGUCUAAAGCUGUGAGGUUGGGAACGAAAUGCAGCUGGUUUCUUUCUUAAGCAAGUUGCAGCAAACUUCAUUCGUUGUUGCUAAAAGUUCUUGGGGCUGGAAUGUUUUUUCAUUUGUUGUACCAGAUUUGCAUACAAAACAUCUUCAUUUUGGCUCUUACAUGUAUGAUGAAUUUGGUAGGAACUUGAAAUUGGACUUUGCUUUGAGAGCUUUGUCUUGUUUUCUUAGAAAAUCUGUCAUGCAAAGUGUAAAGGCUUCAAAGCCUAAGGAAAAUAUUUGCAGAAGCAUUCUUCUACGUGAUUGCAUGGGUUUUGCAUGAAAAUACUUUUGAAUUUUGCCUUUUGAUCCUUCAAGUCCCCUUUGUUGCACUAAGGCACAAUUAUGAACUGAUUCCUUGCAAUUAGGUCCUAAGGAAUUUGCAUUUCAAUUAUUGUUUGGCUUUAUUAUUAUUUUGGGGACCUUUGAAGUUCUUAAGUGUUUCGAUUGAGCUCGAAUGGGUGACUAAUGUUGCAAUUAUUUCUCUCUUACAUGACAAUUUGCCUUGGCAUGUUUUUAUGUGAUUUGUGGACAAUGUUAAUAGAUUUCUAGGACAAAAUCAUGAAAGCUUGGUAACCUGGAAGCAUUGGUGGUCUUGAUUUCGUUUGAUUUAAAUUUUUGCUUAGCUAAAUUUUGUUAUUAAACUUUAAUGAAUAAUUUUCCAUUUUCUCCUUUUCAUCUGAUUGCGAGGGAUCCCACCUUCGACCACUCAAUUUCGUACUCCAUUUUAGACUAUUGAUUUUUUUUAUUUAUUUAGGACCGAGUUUGCCUCCCCCUUGCAUGGUUUAUCCCAUCUUUAAUUAUCAUUUCGUGCUUAAUUUCCACUUUUAUGUUUAAUUCUUGUUUCAUGUAAUUAUUCGAUAAUUUAAGUGGUACCUUGACCUUUUUAUUAUUUUGGAGGGUAAGUUAGUAAUUUCACUACGUUAGGGCGUCGCUUCAAGGGAGGUACACUCUAUCCCUCAUUUGCACUACAUUUGACCUCACGUGCUCCUACGUGUUAUGUGAAUAUGCAUGUCUACUUCGCUUUCCUUACCUCCUUGCAUGCGUUUACUCGCUUUUAAUUUUAUUUAAGUUUUAUGGGGUAUGUGUACACCUCUUGGCUUGUAAUAGAUAGGGCUCGGAGAGCCUUUGGUCCAUUUCCCCUUCCCCUUGGUUGCUUUUAUUUAAGUUUUAUGGGGUAUGUGUACACCUCUUGGCUUGUAAUAGAUAGGGCUCGGAGAGCAUCUGGUCCACUUCCCCUUCCCCUUGCUCGCUUGUUUUUGUUGCUACAUGUUUAAUUGCUUUAUUAGGCUCUUGCAUCUAGUCGAGCAUGCUAAAUGCUAUGUGCUAUGUGUUUACGAGUAUUUUUGCAUGUCUACUUGCUUUCAUAGCCAUGAAUGAAUGGAAUGGGUGAAUGUACGUUUCCGCUAGUCCAACGCUAGUCGGAAUUCAUAGAAUGGGCUAGUCCAACGCUAGACCCUUAGGGAUUUCCCCUCAUUAGCAUAUCAUUUGCUUUUUCACCACAUAUCAUGCAUUUUUCUUAGUUUUAUCACUUGGCAUGCUCCUCGAACCCCCUUUCCCUUCAUGUUAGGAUUUUUGCAUAUCAUGAUAGUUGUAGGGUCCAUUUGCUUGAGGGUCUCCUUCUGAUAAGGGAAACGAGCGAGUGUGGCUACUCGAUAGCCUUAGCACGCUAGUUUUGCCUUCUAAUCAAAGGGAAAAUCGAAGUCGACAAGUUAGGAGUCAUUCCCAUACCCGACCUGAUGCAUUCCCUUAGGUUCAGUCAUUCUCAUUUAUUACUCACUCAUUCUUUUCAAUUCACAUUUUCCUUUCCUUAUUGUUCAUUUUGAUUUCUACUUCACAAAAUUGCAUUUAAUUACACCUAUAUGCACUUAUCACUAUAUUUCAUACACUUGCACACGAACACUUGGAAUUUUCAUACAAUUGCACACGUGCACCUUUUCAUACACUUGCACGCAAACACUUGGAUUUUUAAUUUCUUUCAUACACUUUCACACUUGCACACUUGAGUCUCAUUUGCAUUAAUCGACCUCUAUGAGGUUUUCCUUUGUUGGCCGCCACAAUUCAUGUGGUUUGGGACCAAAAGCCUCACAAGAGACAUCGUAGAAUUUAGGAUUGCAUUUUUCCUUUCCAUUUUGCAUUCAUAUAGUCAUAUCCAAACGUGCGAGCAUACAUUGGGUAGAAAACUAGGAAAGGUAAGGUUAAGUCGCGCAACUAGCCUUGGCUAGGUCAAAUGGGUGCCUUGGAUUCUAUCCUUGCCUUCCCCUUUGUCAAACGUGACCCCCGAACCUUUUUCUUUGGCUUACGUGGAUUAGGAGUCGUUUUAAAAAGGGUUUUACUACUUUGUCUUUAAAAAAACACUUUUUGGGUGACUUGGUACACCCCAAAUCUAUACCAAGUGGCGACUCCGUUUUCAUAUUUAAAAAACCCUUUUUAAAAUUUCAUUUGGCCAAAUCGUCGCUUUCCAAAGUCCCAUGGCCUUUUUACUUUUCAUUUUGCACACGUUCACACCACACAUCACAUCACAUUCGAAUCAAAAAGUGGGGCGCGACAUGUACCACUUUCAAGAUUCACAACUUACAUUACAAAAGAGCACUUAACUUACAAACCCAUCCCACAGUCCGACAUCCUAAACUUUAAGCUUAGGAUACACUACAGAGAUCUAAAGCCUAAUCUCUGAUACCACCUGUGACGACCCCACCUCCCCCUAAGGCGAACCAAAGAGUUUAGUGGACCGCCUGCCCAGCUCUCGCCGGGACUCACUUACUUACUACAUUCCUCAAGUAAAUUACAAGGUACAACUCGAAUAAUACAUCCAAUUCUCCAAAAAUUACAUAUCAUAAACGAAGCGGAAACUAGUUCUAAGCGUAGAAUGUAGAUAUACAUCCGAUUCAAUUCCAAAUAUUUAUACAGGACCAAAAGUACAUAAACCAAAACCAAAAGUACAAACUAAGCAAUUUAUAACUUAAACGAUCGAAUACAGUCGAAAUUGGCCGAAACGGCUGGAAUGGUAACAAAAUAACAAAAAUAAUCCUAAACGGUCCAAAAUGGCUAAAACGGUUGAGAAAUGCACGUGCGUGUGCGCGGAAAUGCAAAGGGUACAACUUGGGUUACACGAUUUUUGACCAUAACUGGAGCCAUAGUCAAUUGCUUCUUAAGCUCUUGGACACUACCUGGACAUAUCAUUUGAGUCGAUAGUACAAGGAAAACGAGUUUACAUUGGUCAUUAUGUUUUUUUUUCCUCAAGGGUACAAGUUCGGCCGAGUCCUAACGUAUAACCCUCGAUAACAAAGCAGUAACGGUCCUCGCUUCAAGUGAUAAUCACUUAACCUUUACUCAGGUUGCAAGUAUAGUUUCCUAGUCCUCGAGUAUAAAUUCGGGCAGCAUGCCCUUUGUGUUUACCUAAUUUUCCAGCCAUUUAGGCUUCAUUAUUUUCCUCAGCCAAAUCCCAAAGUCUCACAUAUCAUAAAUUCAAGUCAAUAGCCAUUCCAUAGGCUCAUAACAUUAUAAGAAUAAGAAUCAAAGUAAUAACAAGUGCAGAAAUACAAUCUAGCAAAAGACAGAUUCGACGUGUGGUUGCGAAAAUAACACAUCCGAGGCUACGCUUAUCGGACUGAGGCACAACUUAUGCCGUUUCGAAGCUAAGACACAGGGCUACAAUGUUCAUGAAGAUCACUUAGUCCAGUUUCUAAUGAAACUUAGUCAAAUCCUCAAUUUACAGAACCAAAACCCAACUAGUCGGCUAUUUAACCACACUGAACUGGAAUGGUCAUAUCUCAGGUUACCAAGAUCCGAUUAAGGUGUUCUUUGAGGCGUUUGAAAGCUAAGUCAGAAUACUACAACUUUCAUGUUUUGGAAAAAAACUAAAACUGAACGGAUCCUAGUGAAUAAUUACCCCCAAACAGACUAACUGUCCACGCGGAACUCUGGUUUAUACCCUAGAACAGCAAGGGUAUUUUCAUCUUUUCACGAGCUACGUUGCUCCGAUUGAGCUGAAAUUUUGUAGGCACCUAUAAAAUAACAUUCUCUACAACUUUCAUGUUUUUACCUAAGGCCCAUUCGGCCUCUAACAAGAAGCUACAAAACCGGACAGAAAGGAAGAAAAAUUUUCCAGAAAUCUGGAAUUUUCAGUUUUCAGGGCAACCUUCCUUGAUUUCUUACUUCCAACACUACCAAAACCUCUUAUAUAACCUUAAUUACAACAUAUAUUAACCAUACACCAAGUUGGGCAGCAAGUCCUGAAACCCUAGUUCAUAAUAUCAAAAGGGAAAAACCUCCAAAACAUGAUAGCAUCCAUGAUUCACCACAAAAUUGAGUUACUAAGCUUAAUUUAAACAAGAUUGAAAGUAAAAUUUAGGAAACUCAUCAUCCUUACCUUGAUUAGAGUCCACCAAGUGUAGCCUUAGCUUUCCCCUUCACAAUCUCACCAACAAUUCACUAACUAAACACUCAAAGGUGAGUUUAAUCGGUUUGGAAAUUUAAUUUGUCACUUGGUUGGUUAGAAUCAAGAAGAAGGAAUUGUUUCUUGCUCUCACUUUCUCUCUCUCUCUUGGUCGACCAGCUGCUGGAAAAAUGAAGAGGAAAGUGCAGAAAAUUGGUUUAAGAAGGCUAGUUGAUCACUUGGCCAAGAAACUCUAGGGUGGCGACACUUGUCGCCGCCACCACCUUUCAUUUUUCUCUUUCCUUUCCUUGUUAUUUUUAACCUCUAUUUUCGGUCAAAGCAGCUGACAAUUAAGAGGAUAUUUUGCUCAAAUAUCAGUAAGCUUGUAUGGUAAGAAAGUGGUGGUCAAGUGGUGCGUUCAAUCGGUAGUGCGCGGGACCCGCCGGUUCGCGCCGUUUUUCUUAAAAACACACGUACUAGGGUUUUUACUUCCUAUUCACUAAUCUUAUCUCAUUGCUCCUAAUCACAUAUUAUUUCUCACUUAAAAGUCACUUUUAAUCACCAAAUUUGAUCCUUGGUCCGUACUGAAAUUUCAUCCGGCGAAAAAUCACAAAACCCUAAUUUGCUCUGUGAGAACCCAUAUUUCCCUAAUAUUUUUUCCUAGGGUUUUUCCCCUUGAUUGCAUGUUUUCUGCAUUUUCUGGCUUAGGAAUAUUUUCUUGGUGGAUUUUAUGAGUAAUUAUAGUUUUUAGAUGAUUUUCCUAGCAUUGGGUAGUUUUUGAAAAAUUACGGAGAGAUUAUGGACGUGAGGCCCACUAGUGUGAAAAGUUCGGAAAAAUUCGGCCAAUUAGGUUAAAUUUCGGAUACUGUGUGAAAUUUAUCGGGUGUUAAAAGAUAAGUAGAGUGUGUGAAAUGAUUGAUGUGAGAGGAAAAAGAAGGGAUAGGAAUGCAUUAAUGGUAGUGACAAGUGUCACCAUCUCAUUGGAUAGGACUUAUGAUUUACUAUUCCAUUUUUUUGACUUUUGACCAAGAGGUUAAAUAUCUUAAAAUUGCUCAAAAAUUACCAUUUCUUACCCCUUGAUGGCCGGCCCUCUCUUGAGCAAAGAAGACAGAAAUUCUUCACCAUUUUAGCUUCCAUUUGGCUCAAUCUUCCAAAAACAAUUGCCUAAACUAGUUUCUACUCCAUAAAAUCCCUCCAUUUGGUGCUAGUGAGUGUUUUGGUGAAGGUUUUUGGAGAAGCUAAGGUGUUCUACAACUUCCUCUCUCUUGUUUGCUUGGUAAGUGGUGAUUGACUAUCCUCCUAUACCUAAUGAUGCUUAAUUUGUGCCUAGUGGUGGCUAAAGUGAUGAUAUUUGUGGUUUAUUUCUUGUUUUUGGAUGAAAUAGUGAAUUUUACAAUUUAUUGGAGAUUUUUCUGGUUUAAUGUGAUCAUGAUGUUGUGGUUGUUUAUGAUGGUUGAUAAUGAGGGGUAAUGACUCUAGUAGGUGUGUUUGAUAGGAAAUUGCAACCAAUUUUGGGUUUGGAUUGAAAUGUGAAAAGUUAGGGUUUCAUAACCCCCUUUUCUGUCCGGUUUUGGAUCAUAUGGUUAGAGGCCGAAUUGGCCUUUGCUUAAAACAUUAAAGUUGUAGGUAUUGAUGUGUUUGAGGUGCCUGUAAAAUUUCAGGUCAUUUGGAGUAGUGUAAAGUGAGAUAUGUUGAUUUUACUGUUGCUGUUCUGGAUUGAUCAGAAUGUGAAAACUGCACUUGUAAUUUACUGUUUUGGCUGGAAUUACUUUGGAUUUGGUUGUUCAGGUCUUCUGAUGAAAUGUAGCUGGAUGUCUUAGCUACCAUAUGCCUUUAGAAUCAAUGCAUUUGGACAUGUAUAGACUGAGUUGGACUAAUUACAGCAUAGUGUGAUUUGUAAACCUGCAAUUACGGUUCUAGUUUGGUAUUCUGCAUUUUUUUACCUAGUUGUGCUAGGAUUUGGACUGAGUGGCCUUCUACAUUGUUGUAGCCCUGUCUUUUAGCUUCGAGAUGGUGGGUCUUACACCCUCAUCCGAUAAGCGUAGCGCAUUUUGUACCAUCACCGCAAAAGGGGGACGAAAACUGUUUUUUUGUUAAGGUCAAGUUAGUGCAUUGCUGUAAUUUCUGGUUAUCUAUGCUACUUGUCUAUGCAUAUGAAACCCUAGUGGGGUUGCGAUUGGCAUUGCUUUAUGACUCGUUAUCGAGUCUCAUUGUAUUUGUUUGCUUGUUCUAGGAGGUAACGGUGGUGCACGACGUUCGUUUAACGACGGUGCAUGAAACAUCACUUUCUUGAGUGGUGAGUAUACUACUCACUUGAAUGUUACAAUGUGGCUUUGCUAUAUGUGAUUUUGAUGCCUUGAAGGCUUAUUUGGCUAUUGGAAUGGAUUGAGGUGAGGGUGUACUUGACCGCCCUCACCCCUUGUGAUACCGUUAAUGACUGUUUACCGCUUCACUGAUAUACUGCACUUGCUAUAUGAGAUAUUGAAUUCACUUCAUGAAAAACUGAUUUGGUGUCGUUUGGACGAGUAUCCAACGGCCUUACUGUACUACUGAGCUCAACCCCGUUGGUAGUCAAUUGAAUCGAGCCGGCGAGGGCUUGGUCGUGAAAAUUGACAUGCCACGGGGACUGUACUGGGGAAUCUUGUAGUAAUGAGACUCUUGAUUCCGGUAAACUCGAGUAUUACCAAAAGCUACUGAUUGGAGUGCGGGCCCGGUUGGGGUAUGUUUGGUGGAAGGGAUGGGAGUGAAGUGGGUUCUACGGUUGGUACUCUUAAUAUUGACGGAGGGUCAAUGAGGUUGGAUCAAGAAUGUAAGCGUGGAAAUGGGCUCUUGAGAGCCGUCCGUAUCCUUUUACCGACUUGUUUUACUUCUUAAUUGUGUACUUGAAAUGAAAGAUUUUGCUUAUGUGAUCUUUGUUGCUUAUGUGGUAGUAACUCACUGGGCUUAAGCUCAUUCCGUUCCAUUUGUUUUCCUUACAGGAAAAUGACCACUUUUGGAAAGGUUAUACUUGUUGGUUGUCAAGUUGAGCUCAUGUAAAUGUAUCUUUUGGAUAGCUCUUCGAAUGAAACCCUAAUGUGUAUUGGGUUCACUUUCUUUUGAUUGGCAAACCGAACAUGUAUAUUCAUAAUGAAUGGUUUUUGAUAUGCCGCUUUGGCUUGAAAAGGUUACUUUUCA